rnacentral:lncRNA from 1 species
UGAAAGUUCCCUGCAGUAGCUGACUCCCUUGAUCUGAGCCUGGCCAGAGCCUGUGGGUUGAAGACUUAGAGAACUCUCAGAAGAAGAAGAUCUUAAGACUCUGAAAAGCAAGCAAUGGAAGGAAAUACGAGGGAAAUUGACAUCAGACAUCAGAAAGUAAUUCGUGCCUAGGAUGCAGGUGGAAUCUUCUGCUUUGAAGCAUACCCUGUGGCAACGCGACCUCCCUGGGAACCUCUCCUAUCUACCUUCAGUCCCUAUGCAUCCGCUUCCUCCCAAUUCCUCUUGCCCUCACUCAUCAUAAGCAUAUGAGGAGGCUUUGGGAGGACAGUCUUAGUUGGAACAAGGAUUUUCAGGCUGUAGAGACCAGAGAAUGCUUGUCCUGGGAUGUGUGAGAGAUGGUUCCCAGAGAGACGCCUGGAAAUCAGAGACAAGGGUCAGCGAUGUUGGCAGGAGCAAAUGCAACGAAAUACACUCAAUGCUGAAACCUG